AUUGAACGCUGGCGGCAGGCUUAACACAUGCAAGUCGAACGGUAACAUAAAGAAGCUUGCUUCUUUGAUGACGAGUGGCGGACGGGUGAGUAAUGCUUGGGAAUCUAGCUUAUGGAGGGGGAUAACUACGGGAAACUGUAGCUAAUACCGCGUAGAAUCGAGAGAUGAAAGUGUGGGACCUUCGGGCCACAUGCCAUAGGAUGAGCCCAAGUGGGAUUAGGUAGUUGGUGAGGUAAAGGCUCACCAAGCCGACGAUCUCUAGCUGGUCUGAGAGGAUGACCAGCCACACUGGGACUGAGACACGGCCCAGACUCCUACGGGAGGCAGCAGUGGGGAAUAUUGCGCAAUGGGGGCAACCCUGACGCAGCCAUGCCGCGUGAAUGAAGAAGGCCUUCGGGUUGUAAAGUUCUUUCGGUAGCGAGGAAGGCAUUUAGUUUAAUAGACUAGGUGAU
rnacentral:rRNA from 1 species